UACGUAGGUGGCAAGCGUUGUCCGGACUUACUGGGUGUAAAGGGCGUGCAGCCGGGCUGACAAGUCAGAUGUGAAAUCCCGCGGCUCAACCGCGGAACUGCAUUUGAAACUGUCAGUCUUGAGUACCGGAGAGGUCAUCGGAAUUCCUUGUGUAGCGGUGAAAUGCGUAGAUAUAAGGAAGAACACCAGUGGCGAAGGCGACUUACUGGACUGUAACUGACGCUGAGGCAUGAGAGCAUGGGGAGCAAACAGG
rnacentral:rRNA from 1 species